GAUGAACGCUGGCGGCGUGCUUAAUACAUGCAAGUCGAGCGGACAGACGAGGCGCUUGCGGGGUGGACGGGAGGGGAGGGCGGGAGAGAAACGCGUGGAUAAUGCACCUAUAAGAGGGGGAAAAUCUGGGGAAAGGGGAGAAUAUCGGGGAUGAGAUAUUGAACCGUGUUGGGGGAUGGUAAAAGACGGCGUUGGUGUCUGUUAUAGAUGGUUUCGCGCCGGAUUAGCUAGUUGGUAAGGUAGAGGCUUACCAAGGGCACGAGGCGUAGCCGGCCUGAGAGGGUGACCGGCCACACUGGGACUGAGACACGGUCCAGACUCCUACGGGAGGCAGCAGUGGGGAAUAUUGCACAAUGGGCGGAAGCCUGAUGCAGCAACGCCGCGUGCGGGAUGACGGCCUUCGGGUUGUAAACCGCUUUCGCCUGUGACGAAGCGUGAGUGACGGUAAUGGGUAAAGAAGCACCGGCUAACUACGUG
rnacentral:rRNA from 1 species